rnacentral:rRNA from 1 species
GAUGAACGCUAGCGGCAGGCCUAACACAUGCAAGUCGAGGGGCAGCGGGGAAAAGCUUGCUUUUCCGCCGGCGACCGGCGCACGGGUGCGGAACGCGUAUGGAACCUGCCCCUGUCAGGGGAAUAGCCCAGGGAAACUUGGAUUAAUGCCCCAUGGUACCAUUAUAUCGCAUGAUAUUAUGGUUAAAGAUUUAUCGGACAGGGAUGGCCAUGCGUACCAUUAGUUAGUUGGUAAGGUAACGGCUUAC